UACGAAGGGGGCUAGCGUUGCUCGGGAUCACUGGGCGUAAAGGGUGCGUAGGCGGGUCUUUAAGUCAGGGGUGAAAUCCUGGAGCUCAACUCCAGAACUGCCUUUGAUACUGAGGAUCUUGAGUUCGGGAGAGGUGAGUGGAACUGCGAGUGUAGAGGUGAAAUUCGUAGAAAUUCGCAAGAACACCAGUGGCGAAGGCGGCUCACUGGCCCGAUACUGACGCUGAGGCACGAAAGCGUGGGGAGCAAACAGG
rnacentral:rRNA from 1 species